rnacentral:rRNA from 1 species
UACGUAGGUGGCAAGCGUUGUCCGGAUUUAUUGGGUUUAAAGGGUGCGUAGGCGGCUUGAUAAGUCAGUGGUGAAAGCCGGUCGCUUAACGAUCGAACUGCCAUUGAUACUGCCAGGCUUGAGUAUAGUUGAGGUAGGCGGAAUUGACAGUGUAGCGGUGAAAUGCAUAGAUAUUGUCAAGAACACCAAUUGCGAAGGCAGCUUACUAAAGUAUAACUGACGCUGAGGCACGAAAGUGCGGGGAUCAAACAGG